rnacentral:rRNA from 1 species
GAAAGAUGAAAAGAACUUUGAAAAGAGAGUUAAAUAGUACGUGAAAUUGUUGAAAGGGAAACGAUUGAAGCCAGUCGUACCUGCGGGUAAUCAGCCUUUUGGGCAUGAUUCUGUGGAGCGUGAGGAGUUAAACGCCUUCAUGCCUGCAUAUUCGUGUACUUUGGGUGUACUUGCCUGUGUGGUUAGUUAACAUCAAUUUUGGUUAUCAUAAAAUGGCUGGAGGAAUGUAGCUUCGAUUUCGAUCGAAGUGUUAUA